AUCGCGAGAUCAGGAAGGUGGCCGAGUGUGUCGCCGCGGCCAUCAGGCACUUCUCCUUCCUGCCCUUGUAUGAAGAAGGAUGUGUUUGCUUCCCCUUGUGCCAUGAUUGUAAAUUUCCUGAGGCCUCCUCAGCCCUGCAGAACUGGGGUUAUAGCCAUGUGACUGAUCUUCGUCCAAGAAUAUGUAAAGAAAAAGUGUUGAGUUGGCUUUUAGGGCUAGAGCAAUGUAUCUUAGGCUCACUUAAGGAAGCUGUAGAGAUGAGCCCAAGGAGGGAAACCAGAAGAGCCCCCCAGGCUCACCAGUUGUUUGUUGGCUCCCUACAAACAUGUCAUUCAAGUGGCUAAUCUUACAACAGCACAAAUUCAUCUAACCAGAGAUACUCUAUUAUAGCAAAGAAGAAAGAUAAUUUCAUUGAGCCAUCCUGUUUUACAGCACCCAACAGAAUCCCUUCAAAGCCUCGUGGUCUGACACCCUAUGCUACGUGACUUGUGACCCAUCCAUUUGUCAUGUUCUUCGGGAAUGUGGCUAAGGGGCUAAGAUGUGACUUGAAAAGAAAGGUAGAACAAGAUCAUCUCAAAUUUAUUAUCAAGGAAUAGUUCAGAAAACGACUUCAGACCACAGAGACAGCAGAACAGAUGGUCCGGCAUGGAUAGAGCAUCAGACACUCACAGACUGUGCCAACAAGAGCCAUCGAGUCAAAACAGCCAAAGGAAGGAGGGUCAUGGAAUGGGUUCUCUCACACCAAACUGAUGCCCAGAGGCCCUCAGCAUGAAUAACAAAGGCAACCAGACCCACAAGCCAUACUGAGUGGAUACAAAACCUAUACCUAGGCUGACAUCCCAAAUGUGUGUGGCAAGUUAGAUGAUGAUGGCACAAAAGACAGAACACCUUGCUUCUGGCCAUUGUCAGCUCUUGGAAGAGAGCACACUUUUAGAGGAGCAGCUGCAAGGAGCCUGAGAACAAAACUGGAAAUGUCUGUUAUGAAAGCCUUCACAGGAAAUUCUGCAAGUGGCAACGUGGGUCCAUUCCGUGUGUGUCACUAGAGCUGGCGCAAGCCCAUGGCCAUGGUGAGGCAGCGUUUCCACUGGAACUAAUCUGAUACCUGCACCAGCUCUUGCAACUGUGCAGUGUUCCCACUGCAAACUACGGAUGGGGUAAAAGACUGCUCACCUCCUAUUUCUCAUCUAAUCUCACACACUCUGUUUGAUGAGGCUAUGGAGAAACAGGUCUUCUCAUACACUAAAGGUGGGAGUACAAACAAUUCAAGCCCUGUGCAGGACAAUUAGGCAAUACCUAUCAAAAUUAUACAUGAUUUUUCCUGCUGACCCAGCAAUUCCACUUCUGGGAAUAAUUGACAGAUAUAGGUGCAUAUGUACAAAAUGAUGGAAAGCUCUCUGGUAUAUAUUAGUAAGUGAUAAAACAAGGUGUAAAAU
rnacentral:lncRNA from 1 species